CUCAUUUCUGCUUCUGUAAAUGAGUCCUGUGCUAUGAAGUCAAUAGUGACAUCAUCAGGAGGCUGAUACUGUGUCACUCGUGUUCCCAUUAAAGAAAACAAUACAUUUGUUCCUCACCAUUAAGGGUUCCAUGUGUUCAUUCUGCUGUUACAAUGUACCUCGUUUCAGUGACUCCUCCCCUCCAUUCCUGUAAGAGGACAGGUGGACUCCUCCCAUCUAUGCAUAUGUAAUUAGCUGUUGACUCCUCCCCUCCAUUGCAGUUAGAGGACAGGUUGUCUCCUCCCUUCUAUGCAUAUGUAAUCAGCUGUUGACUCCUCCCCUCCAUUGCAGUUAGAGGACAGGUUGUCUCCUCCCCUCUAUGCAUGCAUAAGUAGCUGUUGACUCCUCCCCCCUAUGCAUAUGUAAUUAGCUGACGAAGGUCCUUACUGCUGGGAGGUUUCUGACUCGUGACGCUCCAGACCGACGCUCCUCUGACCUCAGACAGCAGAACCUCCUCACCCGUCAGACUGAGGCCCUGUGUCGCUGCCUCAUGGUUCUAACAUGGAGCACUUCAGGCAGGGGCUCCUUUGAAGGACUGUUUUUUCCUCGCAUGAUUCUUCACGGGCCCUGAGCCUGCUGAGGAGUAGGAGGAAGCUGUGUCUCAAUAGGCCACUCCCCUUCUCAGUAGGCCACUCCCUUUCUCAGCCGGCCGCUCCCCUUCUCAGUAGGCCGCUCCCCUUCUCAGUAGGCCACUCCCCUUAUCAGUAGGCCACUGCCCUUCUCAUUAGGCCACUCAUCAGUGUUACGUUAAUGCUACUAGUAUAGUAGUAGUAUUAAGGUGACAUAGUAAUAUUAGCAUAGCAGUAGGAUUAACUUAAUAUAGUACUAGUAUAGCAGUAGUAUUAAGGUAGUAUUCUACUAGUAUAGCAGUAGUAUCAUUGUAGUAUAGUACUUCUAGUACAGCAGUAUUAAGGUAGUAUAGUACUAUUAUAGCAGUAGCAUUAAGAAGUUAGUAAAGUAGUUCUAGUAUAGCAGUAGCAUUAAGGUAGUAUACUCCUAGUAUGGCAGUAGUAUUAAGGUGGUAUAGUUGUUCUUGUACAGCAGCAGUAGUAGUGUAGAGUGUUUGAUUCCCCAGAGAGAGACAGCGUAUCGAUAAUAAAACUCAUUUACUAGGUCAAUUAUGGCUUCUUUCUGUCCCAUUCAAAGGCAUCUUCCACUUGUUCAACACAGAGAGGUGUUGUCGUGUGUGUCUGCUGGUGUUGAAGUGUCUGCAUGUGUGUUUAUAUCCCAGAUUGUAUGUGUGAGGUUUAGUGUCCUUAUUUGUUUGUGUGUCGGCCUCCGUGUGUGUCUGUGUCCGUGGUUCAAUAGAGGGCGCUAUAUUCCCUUGAAUAUAUCUGCCAACUAUGAAUCAACUAUUAUAAAUACGAAAUAAAUCAACAAGAAACAUAGCA